rnacentral:rRNA from 1 species
AGAGUUUGAUCCUGGCUCAGGAUGAACGCUAGCUACAGGCUUAACACAUGCAAGUCGAGGGGCAGCAUGGUCUUAGCUUGCUAAGGCCGAUGGCGACCGGCGCACGGGUGAGUAACGCGUAUCCAACCUGCCUUACACUCUUGGACAGCCUUCUGAAAGGGAGAUUAAUACAAGAUGUUAUCAUGAGUAAGCACUUUCACAUGAUUAAAGGUUUACCGGUGUAAGAUGGGGAUGCGUUCCAUUAGAUAGUAGGCGGGGUAACGGCCCACCUAGUCUUCGAUGGAUAGGGGUUCUGAGAGGAAGGUCCCCCACAUUGGAACUGAGACACGGUCCAAACUCCUACGGGAGGCAGCAGUGAGGAAUAUUGGUCAAUGGACGAGAGUCUGAACCAGCCAAGUAGCGUGGAGGAUGAAGGUUCUAUGGAUUGUAAACUUCUUUUAUACGGGAAUAAACGAAUCCACGUGUGGAUUUUUGCAUGUACCGUAUGAAUAAGGAUCGGCUAACUCCGUGCCAGCAGCCGCGGUAAUACGGAGGAUCCGAGCGUUAUCCGGAUUUAUUGGGUUUAAAGGGAGCGUAGAUGGGUUGUUAAGUCAGUUGUGAAAGUUUGCGGCUCAACCGUAAAAUUGCAAUUGAUACUGGCAGUCUUGAGUACAGUUGAGGUAGGCGGAAUUCGUGGUGUAGCGGUGAAAUGCUUAGAUAUCACGAAGAACUCCGAUUGCGAAGGCAGCUUACUAACCUGUAACUGACAUUGAUGCUCGAAAGUGUGGGUAUCAAACAGGAUUAGAUACCCUGGUAGUCCACACGGUAAACGAUGAAUACUCGCUGUAGGCGAUAUACAGUCUGCGGCCAAGCGAAAGCAUUAAGUAUUCCACCUGGGGAGUACGCCGGCAACGGUGAAACUCAAAGGAAUUGACGGGGGCCCGCACAAGCGGAGGAACAUGUGGUUUAAUUCGAUGAUACGCGAGGAACCUUACCCGGGCUUAAAUUGCAACCGAAUAUGGCGGAAACGCUAUAGCUAGCAAUAGCGGUUGUGAAGGUGCUGCAUGGUUGUCGUCAGCUCGUGCCGUGAGGUGUCGGCUUAAGUGCCAUAACGAGCGCAACCCUUGCCGAUAGUUACUAACAGGUCAUGCUGAGGACUCUGUCGGGACUGCCAUCGUAAGAUGUGAGGAAGGUGGGGAUGACGUCAAAUCAGCACGGCCCUUACGUCCGGGGCUACACACGUGUUACAAUGGGGGGUACAGAGGGCUGCUACCACGCAAGUGGAUGCCAAUCCCAAAAACCUCUCUCAGUUCGGAUUGAAGUCUGCAACCCGACUUCAUGAAGCUGGAUUCGCUAGUAAUCGCGCAUCAGCCACGGCGCGGUGAAUACGUUCCCGGGCCUUGUACACACCGCCCGUCAAGCCAUGGGAGCCGGGGGUACCUGAAGUGCGUAACCGCAAGGAGCGCCCUAGGGUAAAACUGGUGACUGGGGCUAAGUCGUAACAAGGUAGCC